GCGUCGGUGGUUUAACGGUUAGCAAUGUUGCCUUCCAAGCAAUAGAUCCGGGUUCGAUUCCCGGCUGACGCA
rnacentral:tRNA from 1 species